rnacentral:misc_RNA from 1 species
GUCCGCCAAGGGAUGGAGUUUUCCCUCCACAGCAAUGCCACCCACUCAUCCAUAACCGGCAUUCAAGCCAGACCCGCUUCUGCCGAUAACUUCUGCAUGCAACGUGUAGUUCUGGUGAUCGAUGACGACGAAAAGACGCGCGAACUGGUGACGGACAUCCUCGAGGCAUUCGAUUUCAAAGUUAUUCCGGCAGAGAAUUCCGAAGAAGGGUUGACCCUGGCCCUCAUCGAUCGGCCCGAUGUGGUCCUGUGCGAUGUCAUGUUGCCGGACUCGCUCGGCUUCGAGACGGCGAAGGCACUGAGCCAGCAUCCAUCCACGAGCACCGUGCCCAUCGUCCUCAUGA